rnacentral:rRNA from 1 species
GCCCAGACUCCUACGGGAGGCAGCAGUGGGGAAUAUUGCACAAUGGGGGGAACCCUGAUGCAGCGACGCCGCGUGGGUGAAGGAGCACCUCGGUGCGUAAAGCCCUAUCGGCAGGGGAGAAACAGACGGUACCUGACUAAGAAGCCCCGGCUAACUACGUGCCAGCAGCCGCGGUAAUACGUAGGGGGCAAGCGUUAUCCGGAUUUACUGGGUGUAAAGGGAGCGCAGACGGCAGUGCAAGUCUGGAGUGAAAGCCCGGGGCCCAACCCCGGAACUGCUCUGGAAACUGUGCGGCUAGAGUACUGGAGGGGCAGGCGGAAUUCCCAGUGUAGCGGUGAAAUGCGUAGAUAUUAGGAGGAACACCAGUGGCGAAGGCGGCUUACUGGACUGUAAAUGACGCUGAGGCUCGAAAGCGUGGGGAGCAAACAGGAUUAGAUACCCCCGUA